AAAUUGAAGAGUUUGAUCAUGGCUCAGAUUGAACGCUGGCGGCAGGCCUAACACAUGCAAGUCGAACGGUAACAGAAAGAAGCUUGCUUCUUUGCUGACGAGUGGCGGACGGGUGAGUAAUGUCUGGGAAACUGCCUGAUGGAGGGGGAUAACUACUGGAAACGGUAGCUAAUACCGCAUAACGUCGCAAGACCAAAGAGGGGGACCUUCGGGCCUCUUGCCAUCGGAUGUGCCCAGAUGGGAUUAGCUUGUUGGUGGGGUAACGGCUCACCAAGGCGACGAUCCCUAGCUGGUCUGAGAGGAUGACCAGCCACACUGGAACUGAGA
rnacentral:rRNA from 1 species